UACGAGGGGGAGCAAGCGUUGUUCGGAAUUAUUGGCGUAAAGAGCUCGUAGGCGGCUUGUCGCGUCGGAUGUGAAAAGCCCGGGGCUUAAACUCCGGGUCUGCAUUCGAUAACGGGCAGGCUAGAGUUCGGUGAGGGGAGAGUCGGAAUUCCUGGUGUAGCGGUGAAAUGCGCAGAUAUCAGGAGGAACACCGGUGGCGAAGGCGGAUCUCUGGGCCGGAUACUGACGCUGAGGAGCGAAAGCGUGGGGAGCGAACAGG
rnacentral:rRNA from 1 species